UUUUCUUCAAAUUACACUGAGUAAAUAUGAAUUUACUCUGCAAAUUGAGUCAAAGUUAAAGACCAUUCACACUGAAGCAAUCAGAAGUGAGUAGUAAAUAUUUGCUCCAACCUCUAUUCAGCUACAAAUCAAAUCCACCCAAGUCGUUUAGCAAUUUCUCCAUAAAUCAUGAUCUGGCCUUCACAACUCAAACGCAUUUUCCGCUCUAGUGAUAACUUUUUUAUGACCGUAAAUGGGCCUUAAAAUGUGUGUCUGACAUUUUAUUUACUCUCGGUGUUUGUCGUCGCCAUUCGAACAAUGCUUUCAGGGGUGCGAAAUUGGUUCGCUCUAACAAACGAUUUGAAAUGUCAAGUUCGGGUCAAUGAUGACACAUUGUGUACAUUUUCCGAACUUGUCAAAUAUGGAAAACAACGUUAAGGGUAUAGUCUUCACUAUUUCAUCUAUUCCGCGAAAACUCGUGUCUACCAGCGUAAUUGCAAACCAUUUCGCAUUUCUCGGGCUCGGUGGCUUAUGUAAGCAAUCUCUGUUGUAUAUCCUGAAGCAUAAUUCUCGACUCAUUUCAUGCCGUACAACCUUUGCUAUAUUUACUUCGAAGUCUCAAGUACUUCCCCGGGAGUGAAACAUAUUUAAUAAAUUCGUUCAGCCAAUGUUCGUUUUUCUCGAAAUUAGACUUUUUUGUAGCUGUAAUGAAACAAUUUAUUUCUUAGAAGGUUGUCAAAGCGCCAAGGUUUUUACCUCAGCAGCAUUUUUUUUGCUCUCUAAACGUAGUAUAUGUAGAAACAGCCCGAGAAUUGAAGGAAAGAUAAGAUUAUCCUUCAUUCAUAAAAUUCAAUUCGUUACAAACAAUUUACCCCAAAGAUUUUUAUAAAUUAUUUGAUAACCAUCCACUCUUACCAUAAAAUAUAAUUUCUUCAUUUCUACAUAUUAAAUUGCCUAUAACUGUUAAGUAAAAUUGGUUUCGUUAACAAUCCAAGGUUUUUAUAAAAACUGGCCGGUUUUAAAAUAUAACGAAAAGAUAAAGCAUUUCAGAUUAAUUACUUUUUCCUUUUUGAUAAUUUGAUCAAAUUGAUGCGGUCCUGUGCAAAUACAUUUUCAAUUCCCCAAGCAUUCUAAAUGGGUUCCGAAUCUGGACUACACGGUAGCCAAUCCAUAACAGGAUAUUACAGGCCGCUAGAAAAUUUCUGGUGGUACUGACUACAUGAAAUAGAGCGUUAUCUCGGAGAAAAAAUAUAUUUUUGACCUACUCUAGUGAAAGCAAUCAAAAGCUCCUCCACCAAUUCGCAUCCGGAAUUCAAUCUUACUACAUAAUAAAAAGAAGCUUUAAGCUCCCUACGAAAUUGUGAGAUUAUCUCGUAGGGUUCUUCUUUCUUUUAUCUUGCAAACAGUUUUAAACCAUCAUCUAAAAACCGUCGUAGACCAUUCUUCAUCGCAGAGUUCGUAUUUCUAAGUAAAAUUUCAUUCAAACCUUCUUAUGUCGUGACUCGUGAACAAUGUCGCGGUACAAGAACUGUUUUCCUGUAUGAAAGGUUCGUGGCAGAGCUUAAAACUUGUUUGCUGCUAUGUUCAUUAUAGAAAGCUUAAAUUAAACUACGAGACGCUUGAUCUGUUAACCGCGGAAGUCAACCAGGACGCUUCUUUGUGGUGUUUUGAGCACCCAACCGGAUGUAAUUUAUAACGGCCUCUACUCCUUUUCGUUGUAUGAGCUAUCUUGCGGAGAGUAAACUCUACUUCCUUUAAAACUUUGAUUUUACCAAGCUCUCACUGAAAAUAUUUUUUCGUUAUUCCACUCAUGCACAUUUCGUAAACAAGAAAUUCGUAGAUUGUACAGCACUUUUGUUAAUUGUAUAUAACGUUCGUAUUACAAGUUAUCGAUUGGAAUUGCAACAUUACGCAUGAUUUGUAUAAUUCACGAAUGUACUUUCGUACGAACAUGGAUAGCAACGAUAAUUAUACGAAAACUUUCGUUCAUAAUACCUACAUAUACUAGCAGCACUUAUUCCAUUACAGAGCGUUCAUUCAUUUCGUCGCCAUUGUUUAAUUCGGUUGAUAGAAAAACGGUUGUUAGGUGUUUUUUGAUAUUCAGUGCAAAAAAUCAUCGUUCCGGAGAUUAAAAGCUGUUAAUACCAGCAGAAUUCAAGCAGGGAAUAAAACCUUGGUAAGUUGUUACGAUUUUUUGGUCCAAUCCUAAUCCAUUCGAAUAGCAUAGAAAAGUUGCGUCAUUCAAGAUCAUCAGUGUUGUGAUUGUCUACCAAAUUUUCUGUCAUGCCAAGAUUAAAUUUAACAUACAUUCGAAUUUCAGGCUAGUAGAAACAUAGGUACCUCGCUCUAAAAUACGAAAAACAAACAUAGUGUGUGCAUCUCAGCUUAUAGAGAAAAAAUGAAUUUCUUUGUAUGUGGUAUUCACUUUGAUUCUAUUCCAUUCAUGAGAAAACAUUUUCGCCUGUUUCAUGAUCUACCUGAAAAACAUAAUUAUCAAUGCACAUUUCAUGGUCGAUGCAACACUUUGCUCGGAAGCCUGAGUUCAUUAACACGUCACUACAAAGAUCACAUUGAAGCACAAUCCACUAAUCAUCCAAAUAAUGAAAUUGAUACUCUGAAUCACCCAGCUCUGACUUUACAUAGUACUGCAUUCUUCGAUCCAUUACCUUCAUCUAUUUCACAAGAAAACCAACAUACAUUCAAAUCGACGCCAGUAUCAGAUACCUAUCACUCAUCUAUGUUGUCUUCGGGAGACUUCCUCUACGAUAAUGCUUCAGUUGAUGAGUGUGGUGUGAAAUUUACACUCAACCUCCACAAUAACAACAAUUUUUCACGAACAGACGUUUUGAACAUCCAAAAAAGUGUUAUAAAAGACAUUGUUAAUCCGAUUGUUGGCUCCGUUAACACAUUUUUAACUCAGUACUGCAACACAAACGAUCUGGAAAAUCGCUUACGAUUAACAUCACUUAUUCAUGAAAUUUCAAAUCCGUUCUACAAAUGUGAAAAUGAGCAACAAUUGUUCAGUUGGCUUCUACAAAGUGACAACGUCUGCGAUUACGAAGUAUUCGAAAUUAACAAAGAGAUUGCUGAACGAUACCGACGAGGAGAACUUGUCUAUGAUGAAGUUGAUGUAACGGGAGUUUUGCUACCUAUGUCAUUCCAAUUUCGAAAAGUUUUUGAAAAAAAUUCCUUGCUCCUAAAUACUCUUAGCAAUAUGAAAUCAAUCAGUGAAUCAAAUACAAAUACACAUUUCAUCAAUGGGGCAUUAUGGCGAGCAAAAAGUAAACCUUUCAUUGAUACGGGUAAAAUUGUCUUGCCGUUUUUUCUAUACAUUGAUGAUUCAGAAAUCAACAACGCCCUUGGUACACAUACUGAUCCGGUAUCAUUCGUAUAUUAUUCUUUUCCGGUUGUAGAGAACUCAGACAUCUACUUGGCAGCAGUUAUAAAAGGAAAAGACUAUAAAGAGUUCGGUAACGAAAAAUGUCUUAAUGCUUUGAUCAGGUCUAUCCGGGAUAUUGAGGAAAAUGGAAUUCUCAUAGAAACGCCUGAGGGAAAGAAACUCGUGUACUUUGUCCUAGCUCUUUUCGUUGGAGACAAUUUGGGCCUGAAUAAAGUUCUAGGAUUCACAUCAUCCUUCAACCACACAUUUUUCUGUAGAUUUUGCAAAACUCCUAAGCCCAUCACACACAUAUUGUCCACAGAUAAUCUGAGUUUAGCUCGUAAUCCUGAAAAUUAUUCUGCAGAUGUUGUAGCCAAAGAUAUCAGUUUAACAGGUGUGCAAGAACAUUGCAUAUUUAAUAACAUAAAAUCUUUCAACGUAACUACCAACUAUGCAGUAGAUUUGAUGCAUGAUGUUUUUGAAGGUGUAUGUCAUUAUGAUAUCUGUCAUGUUAUCAAUUAUUUCGUUUCAAUGAAAUAUCUAACACUUGAAACACUGAAUACACGCAAACACAUGUUCAACUAUGGAGAAAUAGAAAUUGACCACGUAUCUCCUGAAAUUACACAAAAUCAUUUGAAUAAGUUCCGUUUAAAAAUGACUGCAAGAGAGAUGAUGUGUUUUAUACAUCUGUUUCCUUUAAUGGUCGGUGACCUUAUUCCGGACGAUGAUGAUGUAUGGUCCUUUAUUCUGAAAUUCCUAGAGCUGAUUGACAUUCUUCUCUGUUUUGAAAUUUCAUGCGAUUUAGCAGAACGACUGCGUAUUUUAAUUACCGAACACCAUCAAGAUUACGUUCGACUCUUCAGAGAUACCUUGAAGCCAAAACACCAUAUGCUUCUACAUUAUUAUUAAGUGAUUUUGCAGUCAGGUCCUCCAAGGCAUUACUGGUCUUUUCGUUUUGAAGCGAAGCAUAAGGAAUUCAAAACGUACGCUCGUAAUAUAACUAGCCGCAAGAACAUAUGCAUCUCCAUAGCGAAAAAGUAUCAACUGAAAUUUGCUCAUUUUAUAAAUGAGCCUGUUAAGCCAGUAUACAUCGUACAGUCUCAUCAUGCUAUCAUCACAACACAUUUUGAUUUGAUACAAGCGUUCUGCAAGAAACAAAAUUUUGAUGGAAACAUUUUCCGUUGUUAUUCCAAAUGUGUGUAUAAGUCCAAAAAGUAUAAACAGGGAUAUUUUGUGUGUCAAUAUUUGGAUGCAACUUCUGUCGAAAAUGUGGUAGUUUUCGAAAUAAAUGAGGUAAUUUUAUUCGGUUACUCCCCAACUAUACACGUUGUUUGUAAACGAAUUGAAAUGAUAAAUUAUUAUGAGCACUACGCUGCUUAUGCAAUCGAAACGUGCAAUUCCACGAAACAAAGCAAAUACUACAUACUUAGCGUUGAUAAUCUAGCUGGCCCUCCUAUUAACCUUCAUAAAACAGCUCGGGGGUUGAACAUGAUUAGGCCGAAACAAUAUUGCUAAAUAACAUAUUCGAACAGAAAAUUGUACGUUUAUUGUACUUACAUGUCGCAAAGAAAAACUCUAACGCAUAAUGGAACACUCGGAAGAAACUAACAGUAUGGGAACGGUAGUAGUAUCAACGCAAGCCACUUCAGACGAAGAACCAUCGCAAUUUGUGAACAUAGAAGAUUUUGAACAAAUUCCGAUUAUAAGCGUUAUGAAUGUUGAAAACAAUAAUUCUACCUCAAACACGAAUGAAAACGAAACCCCCGCGGAUGAUACAUUUACGUGCCAACAACUUAUACAGAAGUAUGCAAGCUCUAAUGCCGAUAUACUUGAAUUGUAUGCGUUGCUUAAUAGCUGGAAUCUAGGAGAUCUGUUCCCGUAUUGCUGUCGUAAGUUGAAUUUAUUUUCCCGAACGUUUUUCAGACACUGUAUCAGUCUUAAUUGUUCAUUCAUAAAUAGGCCAACACUUGUACGUCGGUGUGCUGAGACAUCUUACUCCGGAAAUGGCUAUAUCAAUUUUGAACCAACCGUGUAUCCCUCUGGGGGCACAAGUUGAAUUCUAUCACCACUGGCACAACUGGAUGGAAUCUGCGCGUUCAACAAUCGACGUCGAGAAAGCCGAAUGUAAUCCUGAAAACGAUUUAACAUUACGAGCAAAUCGUCGAUGAACGAAUCAAAUUCAGCACAACAGUCCAGAGCUAUGGAAGCUCCGCUUGAUUUGAACACCAUAUUAAAGUCAAAUCAGUAUGGUUUAAAUUUGAUUGCUGCAUUCAACCGGGACAAAAUUCUCAACGAUAAUCUUCGCAAGCUGAUGUUGGAAUCCAUCCUUCAGUUCUGUAUUGAAAACAAACACGAUUUAACAGUCAAAGACUGUUCUGUAUUGGCGGCACAAAUAGUCCAGGUUUUUCCAGGAGAAGUAAUGGCGUACUACUUCGUUGAAAGGAAAAAUAGCGCACCGUUGGGUAAACUCUACCACAAAUAUCGAAACUGGAAAAGCAAUCUCAACCGCAAAUCAAGCUUAGAAAAAAGCACGAAGUCCAUAGUUGGAAAUCCUUCAAAAAGGUUUACAACUGAAAAAGACGAAAAAAUUCAUAUCCGCGCUCUGAGACAUGAAAUGGCUACCAUGAGCUACGAUGAAAAGCUUGCGCAUUGGGUGGGAUGUGCUGCAACGCGGUUGAACAUAAAUCAGAAUCAAAACAACCCGCAAUCCGCAAGCAAAAUAUUUGACCUUUGGCCACAGUUCAAAAAUCCAGAUGGCUAUAGGAUGAUCGAAGCUGAUUUUGUAUUUAUACACGGUCAGAAAAACGAAUUACUUGAUUCCCUUGACGCGUUCGUAGAUGUGAUGGUGGAGGAAAUAUUCCCGAAACAUCGUGAGUCGUUCAAGUCAUCUGAAGACAACGACAUGUUGAACAAACUUUCUGACAAAAGCAACAAUCUAUCACAAAACUCGUCAGCCGCUAUGACGUUCCGUCUUAUGCAAAUGCUACUACCUUUUUCGCGGAUUGAGAAGAAGUUAACAACAGAUCCUAAACGACGAUUCUACAGUAUUCAGGAAUCGAGAGAGGCGUUCCUAACUAUUUGCGCUACUGAAACCGAGUAUAAACAGAAAUAUGAUGAGAAAGUGAAGCGUGAGUCCUGUAUUCCACCUUUUAUGACACUUAUUGGAACUAUAGAGAACUUCCAUUCAAUCAUGGUAGACUUUGAGAACAUAACAUAUAAGUUCUACAGCUUUGCAAAGGCUGUAGAUGUAUGUUUCAAAGCAUACCAGCUGUUUAACAUUGCUUACCCACCCAAGUGUGAGCACUUGUGGGAUUUUUUGAACAGAGAAUUCUACAAAUUGGAAUACGAUGAUGCAAGAACGAAACCACAUACUUUCGUACUACUAAAUGAACUUAACGGUAAGUUUGAUAAUUCUUGAUGUUCAUAACAUAGAACUGCACAUUUUUUAAAUUUAAUUCAUGUUUUUUAGCUGCAAAAAUCAGAAGAUCUACGCAACCAGCUGCCGAUGCCUGAAUUUUCGUUUGCUAUAAUUUUAGGUUAUUUGAAACAUCUUCAACAUCCUAAAAAAUUAUAUGGAUAUGAAUAUACUUGAGUCAAAUUUACUUUAUUCAAAAUAUCAGAAUUCAUGAAAUAAAAAAAU